rnacentral:rRNA from 1 species
AGUGAACGCUGGCGGUAGGCCUAACACAUGCAAGUCGAACGGCAGCACAGUAAGAGCUUGCUCUUACGGGUGGCGAGUGGCGGACGGGUGAGGAAUACAUCGGAAUCUACUUUUUCGUGGGGGAUAACGUAGGGAAACUUACGCUAAUACCGCAUACGACCUACGGGUGAAAGCAGGGGAUCUUCGGACCUUGCGCGAUUGAAUGAGCCGAUGUCGGAUUAGCUAGUUGGCGGGGUAAAGGCCCACCAAGGCGACGAUCCGUAGCUGGUCUGAGAGGAUGAUCAGCCACACUGGAACUUAGACACGGUCCAGACUCCUACGGGAGGCAGCAGUGGGGAAUAUUGGACAAUGGGCGCAAGCCUGAUCCAGCCCUACCGCGUGGGUGAAGAAGGCCUUCGGGUUGUAAAGCCCUUUUGUUGGGAAAGAAAAGCAGCAGGUUAAUACCCCGCUGUUCUGACGGUACCCAAAGAAUAAGCACCGGCUAACUUCGUG